UCCGUUGCCUAGCAACCAACAAACUUUGAAAAGCUUGGAGAGGAAGAGGAGCCAAACACACACACCCCGGCAGGUACUGGACUCGUGUCACUACUUAGCUCUGUGAUAAACACAACUAUCUGGUAGAAUGUCCAAGGUUACACCAAAGAAAAAGGAGUCCUCCUCCAGCAAAGUGUCGACAGACGCUGUUUCCCUAGCAGCCAUGUCCUCUGAGAGCCUAGGAGGAGCAUGGAGAUGCAGAUUCCCCAUAUGGCCUGAGUGGAGUGAUGCAGAAGUCAACAAAGAGAAAUGGGACUCAAGUAAAGGAGCCGAAGAUGGAAAGACUAGCAAGAGUCACAAUGCUCCAUUUUUUGAAGACCCUGAGGGGAAAAUUUGCCUGCCUUCAUCUUUGAAAGUGCACUCCUGGAAGCGGCCUACAGAGUUUGUUGUCAACAAGAGUCCCACUGUUGUUGAAAAUCAAACCUUUGACCUCAUUUCCUGCAAUGAUCACCUGACCCGCAGUGAGCUGAUGAGGUGGAUCAUCAGUGAGAUCUAUAUUGUUUGGACUCUGAAUAACAGCACAUCUAAAGAGCAGGAUGGUUGGAGACCUUGGGAGCACAUCUACUCGCUGUGCAAGGUGGCAAAAGGUCAUGUGCCACUCUACAACAUUUAUGGGAAGUAUGCGGUCAGACUCUACUGGAUGGGUUGUUGGAGAAAGAUAACGGUGGAUGAUUCCAUGCCAUUUGACGAAGAAAACAACUUGCUUCUCCCUGCCUCCACCUGUCAGUCAGAGCUGUGGCCAGCGUUGUUGGCUAAGGCUCUCAUUAAAAUGGCCAACACAAAUGCCGUGUCAGAGGUCUGCGGGGAGAUGGGUGAUUUCACCUUUAUCCACAUCCUCACCGGCUGGCUCCCAGAAAUUAGUCCCUUAAAGUCUGCAUACCUGGGAAAUACCUGGGAUUUCUUGCAAGAGACCAUCCCCAUAUUCACACAACCAGAUGAGAGUGUGCCAGAGACAAAGCCCCAGGCUGCAGAUCCAGCAUCAGGGAGACAAUCCUGCCUUAAUGACAGCGGGAGUCUGCUGCAAGAGCCAGAAAUAAGUGAAGGUCCUCCUGAGGUAGUGGUGUGUACCAGCUACUACCCCGUAUAUCCACACAAUAACUCAUAUGGGUUUGGGCAGAUGGUUAAUUCCUCACAGUUUCUCCGCCAGUACGGCCUCUCUUUGCUGCACAGCCACAUUGUCCUGCUGACCAGAACCCGAGCAUGCAAGUUGGAGGCACCGCCAAAACCUCCACCUGUGCCCCGAUGGAAGCUUAUCCGCCAGCGCAAGGAGAUUGUAGUCACUGAUGAACCACAGAAGCUUCCUUUGUCGAAACCAGAGCGCUUCGUGGAGGUUGCCAGCCCUUUUCUCUCCUACCGUGUCAAGAGCAGCGUUGGCCCGAUCCUGGAGCUAGAGGCCAAGCAGAGCUCUCAGAGGAAGCGUUCCCAUGGUUCCCUGCUGGUGUCCAUCACAGAGAGAGAGGAGAGUGAAUGCCGAGAAGGCCUUGAACUCGAUGCAGCUGAAUGUUCGACAAACACGGCAAACGACAUAACAGAGAAAAUGGAGGUUACUGCAGAGGACACAAAGAAGGACAAUGAUGACAACUCCAAUGAUCGUCCAAAAACUGCAACACAGGAGCCAAUGAAUGAGAAACCCUCAUCUCCUUUCAAACCCAUCCUGCAGCACACCUGGGUGGACCUUGAGGACUUUGCCAAAUGCUUUCAGACUCUGUUGGUGUUCCAUAAACCAAAGAGCUACUCUCACCACAUCCAUAAAUCUCACUUUAAGAGCACCAUCUUGCCCAAAACUGCAACAGCUAACAACUCCACUGGAUCAACACACUCUCUUACCACCGGAUCCCUCCAUGUGACAUCUGCUGUAGCCAGCCAUGAGUGUCUAGAGGUGAGAGGCACUCACUACCUGUGUGUGGACAGCCUGCAAACUUCACAGAUCCUCGUCAGCUUCUCUCCUCUGCUUCUCUGGGGGGAUACAGCUGAGGAAAAAAAGGAUUUGACAGCAGCGUGCAGGUCUUCAGCUCUUAUCGCCCAGCCGUUCUCCUGGAUAAGCCUGCAGUCUCAGCUGCCACUGCUCACCAUCAAGUCCACGUCCCCCAAGGCAUCCGUGCUUAACUUACCCCCAGGGCGCCAUGUUUUGUCCAUCCACACAAAGGCAUCACUUGGUUACCAUGUUCAUCUGUGCAGCAGGACACCUUUCAUCUUUGGGGAUGAGGAAACUGUCAUGUCACACCUCACCAAGGAGAGUGCGCGUUUCACAGAGCAGGCCUCGGCCAUCUUCAGGGCUCUGUGCAGGGUGGUGUCGUCCUUCAGCGAUGAGGAAAACCUGCCGGCAGCCAGACAAGCCUUAGAAGAGGCUCACUGCCCAAGAAAUAUCACCACUGACCUGAGAAAGCACUGCAUGGUAUUUAACUCUGCAGUUUACCACAUGCUGCGUGAUGCUCUGGGAAGAAAACUGACAGCAGAGAAGCGCUUUGCCAUACAGGCCCUAACAGCUGACCCGUCUCUGUUUGACACCGACCCCACAGAAUACUCCUCUGCACAUACAGAGACUCCAGAAAGCUGGAGAGAAAGGGAGCCGACAGACAGGGAGGUGCAAGCAGUCACCACUCUGCAGGCUGGAUUCAAAGGGCACUUGGUGCGAGAGGUCCUUAAUUCCACAAAACCAGGCACCAAGGCGAACCUUCAAGCAUCUCAGAUCCUUUUAGACAUGUGGCCAAAGGUCGAAUCAGAAGCAGAAAAACAUGCUGCCUCCUUGCUAUGGUAUAUCAUUGAACAUUCAGAGAGGAAAGCAGAGCUCUAUCCCUGUCAGCAGGAUGAAUGGACCAGAAUCACCUUCGCUGAUUACUCUGUCACCAUUCAAGACGCAGCAAACUCCUGCUGGGUCUUAGUCUUCAGAGAGGUGUUCCUGGUUUCUGAGGACAUGCUUCUGGUACCAAGAGUCUACUCCCCGAUCUCUAAUUGUCUGCUUCAUGUCAUAAAUAACGACACAGGAGAGGAGCUGGACAUGGUUUUCAACAAAGUGGCAGCCCAUGUCUACAAACCAAACAAGCUUGGUUAUACAUUUGUAGCAGAGGCUGUUACACCUGAAACCCCUUCUGUUGGUGCCAAGUGGAGAAUGCGGCUGAUUGGCUCCGGAGGACUCCUGCCAAAACUGUCCUGUGAGACUCCUCUGAACACAUUUUCAGUGAGAGAGUUCAGGGAUUACUACAUGCCCAAUGACAGAAACAUCAUCUGUCGUUACCUUGUGGAUGUGAUGGCAGACCUCUUAGGAACGAUUCAGUUCCAGACUUCCAAGACAGAUGUUUUGAUUCGUCUGUCCAUUUUGGACCAGGAGAGGGAGGUGGCCAGCAACACUGGGAAGGGCCAUGUGGUGAUACCUGUGUUCAACUUCCUGACAAACACAGCCAACAGUAACACUGAUGAGACAAAACAGAGCCAGAAAGGAUCCCCCACCCAGGACAAGGGAGUGAAGGUGGCAGACACUUCGCAGCACAGAUCCACGGAGAACGGCACAGCUGGGAAGUUAGACUCCUUGUCUGACCAGUCGCAGCCUCCCACGGAGACGAUGCUAUCACUGACAGCUGCCUGCGUGGGUCAUAAGUACGUGGUGCAGGCAGAGGUGCUGUAUAAGAGCUGGGAUUUGGACGAAUCUCAGCUGGAUUUCGUCCAUGCGCUCAGAGAGCUGGCGAAGAAAGAAAUGAGAGUUUACAAGCCUGAGGACUUGAAGCACACAUCCACCCCUGGCACCCCGGUCCAUGAGGGGCACAAAUCCAACACACCCAAAGCCAACCGCAAAGGGGAAGCUGACAAAGAGAAAGGGAAGCCAGCUGGCGUCUCCAAAUGGAGCUCCCGGCAGGACACGAACCUUGACUUGACUAAGGCGAACUGGUCCCUGCGUGUGGUCAGUGACAAGAGCAAAGCAGAGAGCAUCAAGGUGACAAAGGACACGGGGAGACUGGAUCAGAUAAAAGCCAUUAAAAAAGCCUGGGAGAUGGCCGAACCGGGUCGCUGUGCCAAGGUAGCAGAAGCUGCGUUUGUGACAUGCUUACCAGUCCCGCCUCAAGUUUCUUAACCAACAGCAAGCAAGCAAUGAAACUCCCACCAAUGAUGCAGAAAACAGUGACCUUGCUGCCUCUCACAGUCCAUCUUCUCAGAACCUGACCAACACUGCAAGCUCCCCUUCUCCGGUAGACUUCACUCAUUUCAUCAGACGACAGAAGGAUGUCCCCGUGCUGAUGGACCCACAGAUUGAAGAGAUGCAGCAGAGGAAGCGCUUUGAAAGGAUCCAGACUUACCGUUUAGUCCGAGACAACGUGCUGGAGCACCAGAGACAGGAGGAGCUCAACAUGAAGGAGCUGAUGAGACGCCAGCUGGAGAUGUAUGAGAACAUGCAGGCAGCCUUGUGGCAGCGCUGCAAGAAAUUCCUUGAUGCUUGCGAUACGUUCAGGAGCCAUCAGAUGGCGACCGUGAAGAAGGAAAAAGGAGAGAAACAAGCUGUGGAGGAGGCCCAGCAGGCAGUUCUGGAAAAAACAACCUCAGCCUCUGCUGCCGCCCAGCAGCCAAACAAACGAGCCAAGAGCGCUGGCAAGAAUAAAUGACGGUCAUUGGCACAGAGUUCCUGUCUCAAUUUCCUCUGCAGACACUUCUCAACAAGUCUGUUUGAACAGUGAGCAAUCUUCAUGUCACUGCAACAUCCCAGCCAAUACUUGAUGAUAUAAUAUCUGAUUGUUGCUGUGUCUUGCUGAUGUCCUCUCACUUUCAAGAAAUAUGAAAGUAAUGAAUCUGCAACUUUUACUCUGUAUUCAAUGCUGUUUUAUUAUAUUCUUAUACCUCACA